rnacentral:rRNA from 1 species
AAUGAACGCUAGCUACAGGCUUAACACAUGCAAGUCGAGGGGUAACGAGAGGAAAGCUUGCUUUCCUUGUCGACGACCGGCGCACGGGUGAGUAACGCGUAUCCAACCUGCCCCCAACUAGGGAAUAACCUUGCGAAAGUAAGACUAAUACCCUAUAAUUUCCUCAGAUGACAUCUGACGAGGAAUAAAGAUUUAUCGGUUGUGGAUGGGGAUGCGUCUGAUUAGCUUGUUGGCGGGGUAACGGCCCACCAAGGCAACGACCAGUAGGGGUUCUGAGAGGAAGGUCGCCCACAUUGGAACUGAGACACGGUCCAAACGCCUACGGGAGGCAGCGGUGAGGAAUAUUGGUCAAUGGGCGGAAGCCUGAACCAGCCAAGUAGCGUGCAGGAUGACGGCCCUAUGGGUUGUAAACUGCUUCUAUACAGGAAUAAAGUUAGCCACGUGUGGUUAUUUGUAGGUACUGUAUGAAUAAGGACCGGCUAAUUCCGUGCCAGCAGCCGCCGUAA